UGGGGAAUAUUGCACAAUGGGCGCAAGCCUGAUGCAGCCAUGCCGCGUGUAUGAAGAAGGCCUUCGGGUUGUAAAAUACUUUCAGCGGGGAGGAAGGGAGUAAAGUUAAUACCUUUGCUCAUUGACGUUACCCGCAGAAGAAGCACCGGCUAACUCCGUGCCAGCAGCCGCGGUAAUACGGAGGGUGCAAGCGUUAAUCGGAAUUACUGGGCGUAAAGCGCACGCAGGCGGUUUGUUAAGUCAGAUGUGAAAUCCCCGGGCUCAACCUGGGAACUGCAUCUGAUACUGGCAAGCUUGAGUCUCGUAGAGGGGGGUAGAAUUCCAGGUGUAGCGGUGAAAUGCGUAGAGAUCUGGAGGAAUACCGGUGGCGAAGGCGGCCCCCUGGACGAAGACUGACGCUCAGGUGCGAAAGCGUGGGGAGCAAACAGG
rnacentral:rRNA from 1 species